GUACCAAUACCUGGCCAUUCAUAGGGUGUGAGUAAUGUGUGUUCAAUGGUCAAUGAGCGCAGCAGGAUGCCAUAGGAUCUAUUCUAUUUGAAAUUUAGUGUUCAUAUGUACCCUGUUUUCAAAUCUUUUUUUUUUCUGAAAAUGACAAUGGCCAUUGUACUGUAUCUGCAUUAUGACUAAUCAGGUUCCCUCUUGUAAAAAUAAACUAUAUAAUCUUCAUAGUGCCGGGCAAAGCAUGUUAAGAGACAAGGAUGAAUUUAAGUUCUAUAGGAAUGUGGAUUUAUUAAAAAACAUUAAGACAAUAAUUAAUUGUCCCAAAGAUAAAAUGGGACACCCUCACCAGGACGCCCACACGCCUUGCAAAGACAGCCGUCCUGUCCUCCCUGGCCCAGACAGAGCCUUCCCCCUUCAUCUCGGGCUCCCCCUGAUCCAGCGUGCCUGGCCCUCAGCGGGGGACUUGCUCCACACUCCUGCUUACUUAGGAACUAGCGGGGCCAAGGUCACAAGCGCUAAUUACUGAGAGAACCCUGCCCCCAACACAACGGCUGCCCAGAUGCUCUCGGCUGCCAGUCACUGGGCCCCGGUCAAUGGGCGCUUGGGCAAAUCUGUGGAUGGUUCAAAACAAAGCCAUUUGCAUUCCUGGAAACAGAGUUAAGGUACAAGACAAACCUCCUUUCUCCACUCCAGACUCACUAAGGUCCCCACCUAGUCUUACAGCCACAUGCUUCUGCCGGACCCUCUAAAACUUAACAUACAAAACCCUCUAAUUUUUUUUUACAUAGUCCAUUCUUUCAAAAUGUUUAAUGUUCAUUAAACUAUUUUGAAACAAAAACUAUAAUACAGUUACAAUUCAGUUUUCCAUUUUGGAUUUUAAAAUGCUCUGGUUCGAGUCUCGACAUUUUUCUUAAAAAUGAACAUUACGGUAUAUUUUAGGAGAUAAUUUAUAUGGAAAAAAACACACACACUAAAUGUCGGCUUGCACCUAAAUUGUUUACACGUUCAUGGGAAAACCUAGCUGUUAACCUUGGUGAGGGCUAAGAUCGCCCUCUACAAGAUAAACACGUUUCUCCCAAUUCCAAGGGGAGCCUGCGUGCUCCCCUCCCCCACUCUGGUGGCCCGGAGGACAGAGGGGACCCUAGGACUGGAGGGGGACGGAGACGGGCUCAGGGAUGGAGGGGGACAGAGAGGGACCCGGAGGUGGAGGAGGACAGAGAGGGGUACCCCAAGGUUAGAGAACAGAGGAUGACUAGGGGGAUGUAGGGAAACAGAGCGGCGCAGAAGAGGACAGUUGGGGACGGGGCGGCCCCGGGCAUAGAAGGGGACAGUUGGCGACCGGGAAGCCCCCGGCGUAGAAGGGGACAGUUGGGGACGGGGCGGCCUCGGGCAUAGAAGGGGACGGGGGGGAACCGGGCGGCCCCGGGACCGGACGGCCGCCCGCAGGGUGAGCUGCCGGAACCGGGGCUCGCGCGGCGACAGGGCCCGGCUUGGUGACCGGGACGGGCGUGGGGUGGCGGGACCGGGCAGCGGGGAAGAGAGACCGGGACUGGGGACAGGCGACGCGGCCCGCCCCGGCUCUCCCAGCCCCGGCUCCCUUAGCUCCGGCCGCGGGCGCAGUGCAGGGCUCGGCCGCGCACCUCACAGCGCGGACUCCUCC
rnacentral:lncRNA from 10 species